AUGAACGCUGGCGGCGUGCCUAAUACAUGCAAGUCGAGCGAACAGACGAGGAGCUUGCUCCUUUGACGUUAGCGGCGGACGGGUGAGUAACACGUGGAUAACCUACCUAUAAGACUGGGAUAACUUCGGGAAACCGGAGCUAAUACCGGAUAACAUGUUGAACCGCAUGGUUCAACAGUGAAAGACGGUCUUGCUGUCACUUAUAGAUGGAUCCGCGCCGCAUUAGCUAGUUGGUAAGGUAACGGCUUACCAAGGCAACGAUGCGUAGCCGACCUGAGAGGGUGAUCGGCCACACUGGAACUGAGACACGGUCCAGACUCCUACGGGUGGCAGCAGUAGGGAAUCUUCCGCAAUGGGCGAAAGCCUGACGGAGCAACGCCGCGUGAGUGAAGAAGGUCUUCGGAUCGUAAAACUCUGUUAUUAGGGAAGAACAAAUGUGUAAGUAACUAUGCACGUCUUGACGGUACCUAAUCAGAAAGCCACGGCUAACUACGUG
rnacentral:rRNA from 1 species